rnacentral:rRNA from 1 species
CCGGAGAAGUGCAUCGGAAACUGGAUAACUUGAGUGCAGAAGAGGGUAGUGGAACUCCAUGUGUAGCGGUGGAAUGCGUAGAUAUAUGGAAGAACACCAGUGGCGAAGGCGGCUACCUGGUCUGCAACUGACGCUGAGACUCGAAAGCAUGGGUAGCGAACAGGAUUAGACACCCUGGUAGUCCAUGCCGUAAACGAUGAGUGCUAGGUGUUGGAGGGUUUCCGCCCUUCAGUGCCGGAGCUAACGCAUUAAGCACUCCGCCUGGGGAGUACGACCGCAAGGUUGAAACUCAAAGGAAUUGACGGGGGCCCGCACAAGCGGUGGAGCAUGUGGUUUAAUUCGAAGCUACGCGAAGGACCUUACCAGGUCUUGACAUCUUGCGCCAACCUUAGAGAUAGGGCGUUUCCUUCGGGAACGCAAUGACAGGUGGUGCAUGGUCGUCGUCAGCUCGUGUCGUGAGAUGUUGGGUUAAGUCCCGCAACGAGCGCAACCCUUGUUACUAGUUGCCAGCAUUAAGUUGGGCACUCUAGUGAGACUGCCGGUGACAAACCGGAGGAAGGUGGGGACGACGUCAGAUCAUCAUGCCCCUUAUGACCUGGGCUACACACGUGCUACAAUGGACGGUACAACGAGUCGCGAACUCGCGAGGGCAAGCAAAUCUCUUAAAACCGUUCUCAGUUCGGACUGCAGGCUGCAACUCGCCUGCACGAAGUCGGAAUCGCUAGUAAUCGCGGAUCAGCAUGCCGCGGUGAAUACGUUCCCGGGCCUUGUACACACCGCCCGUCACACCAUGAGAGUUUGUAACACCCAAAGUCGGUGGGGUAACCUUUUAGGAGCCAGCCGCCUAAGGUGGGACAGAUGAUUAGGGUGAAGUCGUAACAAGGUAACCGUA